UCGCAUGAAGUAGCAAUUAAAGGAGUAAUCCGCUAUAAGAUGGGCCCGCGGCGCAUUAGCUAUUUGGUGAGGUAACGGCUCACCAAGGCGACGAUGCGUAGCCGACCUGAGAGGGUGAUCGGCCACAUUGGGACUGAGACACGGCCCAGACUCCUACGGGAGGCAGCAGUGGGGAAUAUUGCACAAUGGGGGAAACCUUGAUGCAGCAACGCCGCGUGAGUGAUGACGGCCUUCGGGUUGUAAAGCUCUGUCUUUGGUUUUUAUAAUGACGGUACCCAAGGAGGAAGCCACGGCUAACUACGUGCCAGCAGCCGCGGUAAUACGUAGGUGGCAAGCGUUGUCCGGAUUUACUGGGCGUAAAGGGAGCGUAGGCGGAUUUUUAAGUGGGAUGUGAAAUACCCGGGCUCAACCUGGGUGCUGCAUUCCAAACUGGAAAUCUAGAGUGCAGGAGGGGAAAGUGGAAUUCCUAGUGUAGCGGUGAAAUGCGUAGAGAUUAGGAAGAACACCAGUGGCGAAGGCGACUUUCUGGACUGUAACUGACGCUGAGGCUCGAAAGCGUGGGGAGCAAACAGGAUUAG
rnacentral:rRNA from 1 species